GGGCCUGUAGUUUAACGGUAAAACGCAUCCCUGGCUUGGAUGAGAUCCGCGUUCAAUUCGCGGCAGGUCCA
rnacentral:tRNA from 1 species